UGAAGUGAGGGAAAUCAGUACUGUGC
rnacentral:piRNA from 1 species